GGUGAUUUUCUUUAAGGUCUUCGUUAAACAAAGAGCACUUGGGAUGAUGUCAGGCCUUCCCAUGUCUCUUCAGGCACUUCCUCGGGCAUGCCAUGGCUUGUUCUCUGGUUUGCUCUCCUGCAGGAUAUUCUUGCAGUGUAUGUGACAAAAUAUACAUAUAUACACCUAUAUACAGAGUGUGCGUUCCUGGGAAGGUUCGUCUAUACGAUAAGUGAUGUAAACUUAUCAGAGAUCUUCCCCAAGUUAAGUAGAGGGACUCCCAAAAAGAACUAUGAUAGCGGAGAUCAUAAAAUAAAAAUAAUAUUAUACAAUUCUAAUGCAGAAACAACACUUGAUUCUCACAAAUAUGUAUAUGAAUUCCAGGAAAAUCUUUGAUUAUGUGUUAGUUCGGCUUCUAUCUGUACCAAGCUUUUUGCCCUACGUUGUGCAAGUUAGGAGGAACGACCCCCCCUUGCACCCAAUGUCUGUGCAGCAUUGAUCAAAACAUAGCUACUUUUAUAACUA